rnacentral:lncRNA from 1 species
GUAAUGUUAUUCUCUCUAUAUAUAUGGAAGGAUGUAAAUAGUUGGAUUCAUAUGCUGUCCUCUUGCUUUGAUUUUCAUUCAUAACAGUUUGACUCUUGACAAGCUAGAUGGAGGCUUGGAAUGAAGCGGGUCAAACGGAGCAAGUACGAAAAGGAAAGCGUAAUUUGGAUGCGAGGUAAGUAAAGCUUACGCCCUCUUUUGUAAGUUAUGUGUUUAUUCAUAGGUUGUAAAUACGACAAAAGCUAUAUUUGAAAUAUGGUUCCGACACGAAAUGAAACGGGUCGGGACAUAUAAAAUAAUGAUAAACCAUGUUUAAUGGUAAAAUGGGCGAAAUGGUAAUUGGUCACGAGAUGACAUAAGCCUAAACGAAUAAAAAGAGUAAAACGACGAAUUAGUCAUGUGUAGACGAAAAAGAGUUGAAGUUUAAAACAACACCAUUUAAUAUUAAGCACAAAAUAUUUGGUAGUCUAGACCAAACGGGUCAAAUGGUAAUAUUUAUACCAUUUGAUAAUUAACGACUAAUAAGUGUAUGUCGAGUCUCAUGCUCGCAGGGUAAUUGGUUUAUGAAUUAGCGAGGCUAUGAAUUAGCAUAUUAUAGAGACAAGGUCUUAAAACGGGUCAAUAUGUUGACCCGAGCCAGGUACGCUUAUAUAUAUAUAGAUGUAUAGUUAAAAGUGUAUAACUUCCCUUCACGGGUCAAAAGGAGUAGAUAGGUAAAACGGGUUAAGAAUUCAUAAGAAACCCGUAAUUUGAACCUUGCACAUUAGUAAAUUGAUAUAACGUGAUAUGCAUGAUAUUUUGAAUAUGAUUGAUUGAUCUUUGAUAUUGGUUAAUAUGUAACAUAUUAGAAUUUCGAGAAACUAAUGUAUUGGUAUGUUAGAAAGAGCGAAAUCCGAGAUUUAGGCUUGAGUAUAAUGAACAAAGCAACCAAAAGAUGGAUUUACAGGGACUACCGUAAGUUACGGUAGUACCGUAAGUUACGGUAGCGGUCAGGAGCUUACGGUGUGAGUCUACUGGUUUACGAUGGACCAUUAUUGGAAAUUGACCACCGUAACUUACGGUGAAACCGUAAGUUACGGUAGGGCCUGAAUGUUUAUAAAUUUUAUAUAAUUGUAAAUUUUCAAAUUCAUUUCGAUCGUAGUUUCGAUCAAGUAUCAUUUCUAAGCAUUCUAAUAUAAAUGUUUAUGUAAACAUUUCAGUCUUAGGUACUCAAGGAUUAUGGGUGACGAUCAAGCAACUUUUGAAGGACCGAACACAUACUCUUGAAGCUUCCGCAUAAAUCAACUCGGUUUAAACAAUGUUUAUGAUGUAAACUGUUUGCUAAACAACUUUUGAAAUGUUUAAACGACGUACUCAAUUAUGUUAUGUUGUAUUAUUUUAAAAUUGUAACGUUUAAACAAACCCGUAUUUUUACAAAGUAUAUGUAGUCAUAAUUACAUGUUGUUUGUCGUAUACUUUACAAAAACCAUUAAAUAAUGACAAGGGUGUUACAAAUUGGUAAUCAGAGCUCAUGGUUAAAGAGUAAAUUGUGUUCGGUUCGAGGCUUGAUCGCAAAUCCGGUAAGUACAUGUAUAUUAAUGGUUUGUUAUGUGUUGAAAUGUUGUGAACAACACAUAGGGUUAUCGUGUGAUACACGUUACCUCAAUUAAAUGAUAAAUAUAGUUGACAAAAUUGCGCGCGUUGACGCGUAUAGUAGAAAAGCCUUGUAUUAUAAUACGGGCGAUUAUUGAAGUUGAUAUUACUAAUUCUUGUAAAUGUUUUAAUGGAAGGACACUCGCAUCUGAAGAUAGCGAGAGUUUAACAAAUUGCGGAUAUGAUGAUGGAACGGUCCGAAAUGUGACAAGAAGAGCAUACUCAUCAAGGACCUAAAUCGCGUAACGAUCGCAAAUAAGUAAUGGCAAGGAAUGCCCGUUGGGGCAAGCAUUACCAGUUUGACUCUUGACAAGCUAGAUGGAGGCUUGGAAUGAAGCGGGUCAAACGGAGCAAGUACGAAAAGGAAAGCGUAAUUUGGAUGCGAGGGUAAUUGGUUUAUGAAUUAGCGAGGCUAUGAAUUAGCAUAUUAUAGAGACAAGGUCUUAAAACGGGUCAAUAUGUUGACCCGAGCCAGUCUUAGGUACUCAAGGAUUAUGGGUGACGAUCAAGCAACUUUUGAAUGACCGAACACAUACUCUUGAAGCUUCCGCAUAAAUCAAGUCGGUUUAAACAAUGUUUAUGAUGUAAACUGUUUGCUAAACAACUUUUGAAAUGUUUAAACGACGUACUCAAUUAUGUUAUGUUGUAUUAUUUUAAAAUUGUAACGUUUAAACAAACCCGUAUUUUUACAAAGUAUAUGUAGUCAUAAUUACAUGUU